rnacentral:rRNA from 1 species
UGGGGGAUAUUGCACAAUGGGCGAAAGCCUGAUGCAGCGACGCCGCGUGGGGGAUGAAGGCCUUCGGGUUGUAAACUUCUUUUGCUCUGAACAAGGCAUGCCUUUGGGGUGUGUUGAGUGUAGGGGUUGAUUAGCGCCGGCUAACUACGUGCCAGCAGCCGCGGUAAUACGAAGGGCGCGAGCGUUGUCCGGAAUUAUUGGGCGUAAAGGGCUUGUAGGUGGCUGGUUGCGGCUGUCGUGAAAGCUCAUUGCUUAAAUGUGGGUUUGCGGUGGGUACGGGCUGGCUUGAGUGCGGUAGGGGAGGCUGGAAUUCCUGGUAGAGCGGUGGAAUGCGCAGAUAUCAGGAGGAAUACCGGUAGCGAAGGCGGGUCUCUGGGCUGUUACUGACGCUGAGGAGCGAAAGCGUGGGGAGCGAACAGG